rnacentral:rRNA from 1 species
UACGUAGGGCGCAAGCGUUGUCCGGAAUUAUUGGGCGUAAAGAGCUCGUAGGCGGCUUGUCGCGUCGUCCGUGAAAACCUGCAGCUCAACUGCAGGCUUGCGGUCGAUACGGGCAGGCUGGAGUUCGGUAGGGGAGACUGGAAUUCCUGGUGUAGCGGUGAAGUGCGCAGACUAUCAGGAGGAACACCGGUGGCGAAGGCGGGUCUCUGGGCCGAUACUGACGCUGAGGAGCGAAAGCGUGGGGAGCGAACAGG